rnacentral:rRNA from 1 species
GACGAACGCUGGCGGCGUGCCUAAUACAUGCAAGUCGAGCGGGGAUUAUGCUUGAUCGCUUCGGUGAGACGGCAUAUAUCCUAGCGGCGGACGGGUGAGUAACGCGUGGGUAAUCUACCUCGUAGUUCGGGAUAACAGGCCGAAAGGCUUGCUAAUACCGGAUGAGUUCAUGCUUAUGCAUAUAGGCAUGAAGAAAGGGCUAGCCCGCUAUGAGAUGAGCCCGCGUCCCAUUAGCUAGUUGGUGGGGUAAAGGCCUACCAAGGCGACGAUGGGUAGCCGGCCUGAGAGGGUGGACGGCCACACUGGGACUGAGACACGGCCCAGACUCCUACGGGGGGCAGCAGUAGGGAAUCUUCGGCAAUGGGCGGAAGCCUGACCGAGCGACGCCGCGUGAGGGACGAAGGCCUUCGGGUUGUAAACCUCUGUCAGAGGGGACGAUAAUGACGGUACCUCAGAGGAAGCCCGGCUAACUACGUGCCAGCAGCCGCGGUAAUGCUACGU